rnacentral:rRNA from 1 species
CAAUAGCGUAUAUUAAAGUUGUUGCGGUUAAAAAGCUCGUAGUUGGAGUUCUGCCAGGUGACACUCGUCCGCCCAAGUGGUGUGUACAGGGUGUGCAUCUGGCCCUUUCAAGGGGAACGUGUCUGCACUUCAUUGUGUGGUGCGAGAUCCUUGACUUUUACUUUGAGGAAAUAAGAGUGUUCCAAGCAGGCUCUCGUCGUGCAUAGCUCAGCAUGGAAUAAUAGCAUUGGACUUCGUUUCUACGCUGUUGGUUGCAAGAAGCGAGGUAAUGAUGAAGAGGGAUAGUUGGGGGCAUUCGUAUUUAACUGUCAGAGGUGAAAUUCUUGGAUUUGUUAAAGACGGACUGCUGCGAAAGCAUCUGCCAUGGAUGUUUUCAUUGA